UACGUAGGGGGCAAGCGUUGUCCGGAAUCAUUGGGCGUAAAGAGCGUGUAGGCGGCCAGAUAAGUCCGCUGUGAAAUCUCGAGGCUCAACUUCGAGCUGUCGGUGGAAACUGUCUGGCUAGAGUCCGGAAGAGGAGAAUGGAAUUCCUGGUGUAGCGGUGAAAUGCGCAGAUAUCAGGAAGAACACCCGUGGCGAAGGCGGUUCUCUGGGCCUUACCUGACGCUGAGGAGCGAAAGCGUGGGGAGCGAACAGG
rnacentral:rRNA from 1 species